UGCAAUGGCGGCUGUGCGUGGGAGACCUUCGGGUCUGCCGGGUCCUGCAUCUCCGGUUUAUCAGCCUGCGCACAGCUGCCACCCAU
rnacentral:antisense_RNA from 2 species